rfam:Trichobilharzia regenti genome assembly, scaffold: TRE_scaffold0002314
GUACUGCUGAUGGGUUCCAAAAUAAGACGAAACAACUGUCCAGUAC